UACGUAGGGUGCAAGCGUUAAUCGGAAUUACUGGGCGUAAAGCGUGCGCAGGCGGUGAUGUAAGACAGAUGUGAAAUCCCCGGGCUCAACCUGGGAACUGCGUCCGAUACUGGAAGGCUUGAAUCCGGGAGAGGGAUGCGGAAUUCCAGGUGUAGCGGUGAAAUGCGUAGAUAUCUGGAGGAACACCGGUGGCGAAGGCGGCAUCCUGGACCGGCAUUGACGCUGAGGCGCGAAAGCCAGGGGAGCAAACGGG
rnacentral:rRNA from 1 species